UACGUAGGGUGCGAGCGUUAAUCGGAAUUACUGGGCGUAAAGCGUGCGCAGGCGGUUCGUUGUGUCGGUGGUGAAAUCCCCGGGCUUAACCUGGGAAUGGCCAUGGAAACUGGCGAACUGGAGUGCGGCAGAGGGGGGUGGAAUUCCUGGUGUAGCGGUGAAAUGCGCAGAUAUCAGGAGGAACACCGAUGGCGAAGGCAGGUCUCUGGGCCACUACUGACGCUGAGAAGCGAAAGCAUGGGGAGCGAACAGG
rnacentral:rRNA from 1 species